rnacentral:rRNA from 1 species
AGUGAACGCUGGCGGUAGGCCUAACACAUGCAAGUCGAACGGCAGCACAGAGGAGCUUGCUCCUUGGGUGGCGAGUGGCGGACGGGUGAGGAAUACAUCGGAAUCUACUCUGUCGUGGGGGAUAACGUAGGGAAACUUACGCUAAUACCGCAUACGACCUACGGGUGAAAGCAGGGGACCUUCGGUCCUUGCGCGAUUGAAUGAGCCGAUGUCGGAUUAGCUAGUUGGCGGGGUAAAGGCCCACCAAGGCGACGAUCCGUAGCUGGACUGAGAGGAUGAUCAGCCACACUGGAACUGAGACACGGUCCAGACUCAUACGGGAGGCAGCAGUGGGGAAUAUUGGACAAUGGGCGCAAGCCUGAUCCAGCCAUACCGCGUGGGUGAAGAAGGCCUUCGGGUUGUAAAGCCCUUUUGUUGGGAAAGAAAUCCAGCUGGCUAAUACCCGGUUGGGAUGACGGUACCCAAAGAAUAAGCACCGGCUAACUUCGUGCCAGCAGCCGCCGCCG